AUGUCAGAGAAUGGCACAGGAACUGUCUUUUAUAGAUGUAGUUGCACCAAGAUGAACUCAAAAAGACUUAUAAACCAGCCCACAACUCCGCAUCGUCAGCCAACGCCCAACCACGGGCUUCCCAAGACGUCACUUCAACGACUACUUCCAGCCAAUCUGCAACCUUGGGAAACCCCCUUUUCAACGACAACAAAGGGAACCCCCUUUUCACAGUCAACGCAAGUAACGUACCUCCAGACUAAGCUGAACUGGUGUGUCUAAUAUAAUUUUAACCUCAUUGAGGAACUCAAUUGCGAGGGUUAAUUAAGUGAUUGAUGGUUGUUUAUGUCUAUGCAAUUUUACGUAUUGCUGUAAACUUGGGAUUCCACAUUUUCAUUCUCUUAAACUCAUCCUUUCCUAACUUUCUAUCUUCCUGCAACUUGUGUGAAUGUGAGUGCAUGUGCUUAUGUGUUAAAUUAGUUUAUAUGUCUUAGAUUUAUCUAAUAAAGCCUUAUUCAUUUUGAAAAGAGAAUUAUCUUGUGUUUUGUGCUUACAAGUUAAUGUCUUAAACUGCCGAUCUUGUUACUGUGCUAAUUAAUAGUGUUUUCACUAUACUUUGGAUAUUAAUAUCCAGUGCAGAUUUGAUGUUAAACUAUGUGUUAAAAUAUGUGAACUGUGUCUGUAAUUUUUGGCAGUAAUGUAUUUAUUUGUGUUGCUUUCUUCCAAAAUUUGUAUUAAACAGACUAUAAAGUUAUGUCCCUCAGUCUGAACUCAACCCUGUCACACUAACCAUUGUAGAAUCUAUGAAAUAGGAAUUCAUAGAUUAACUUAAUUUCUUAAUUAACUUAUUAACUUAAUUAACUUAACUUAAUUUCGCCCAUAAUAAUUUAGACUCCACCCAUAUGUGACACAAUUUACCAGAAAUUACAUCGUUACACCCAUGGACGGUCUGUAUGUGUUUUUCUCCCCACGUGCACCCCGUGACCCAAUUUCUUCCAUGUGUGAUUGUCUCAUUUGGUUCAGAUGUGUCUCAUUAAUUACCUAGUUAUAUCCUGUAUUUAAAGUGUUGUCUGCCCUUUGUUCCCUUGUCCGGUGUUAAACGUCUUGAUGUGCUACAUGUGUCGACCACUGCCCUGUCGACUUCUCAUACACCACUGGACUGAGCUGGAGGGAAGCUAUCAUCCGAUGUCUGGAGAGUGUCUAUCCCCGAUCCAGAGCACAGCCAGACCCAGCGCCCAGCCUACCACUCCCCUCUGUGUGGAACUCAAGAUGAUAGAGAGCCCAAGCCCACCGCGAUGACGAGCCAUAGAAGGCUACAGUUCCCACGUAUGGUUCAGGGAGGGGCCACAGAUUCCGAGUCUAGCCCAAGGAGGGCUCCUGUUUCCAUGUCCAGCCCAGGGAGGGCUCCUGUUUGCACAUCCAGCCCAGA
ensembl:lncRNA